ACGCUCGACACCUACAGGAGGCAGCAGUGGGGAAUAUUGCACAAUGGGGGAAACCCUGAUGCAGCGACGCCGCGUGAGUGAGGAAGUAUUUCGGUAUGUAAAGCUCUAUCAGCAGGGAAGAAAAUGACGGUACCUGAGUAAGAAGCCCCGGCUAACUACGUGCCAACAGCCGCGGUAAUCUGAGCGGGCUGGCAAGGC
rnacentral:rRNA from 1 species